GGCUUCGUGGUCGAGUGGUAAAGACACUUGCUUUUCACCUUCGAGUCUCGGGUUCAAUCCCCAGUCGAGACG